rnacentral:tRNA from 1 species
GAGGGCGUAGCUCAGUGGUAGAGUGCAUGCCUUGCAUGCACGAGGUCCUGGAUUCGAUCUCCAGUCCCUCCA